GGUAAGCUAGCUAGAUACUCUACCAGCAGCAUCCUAGUUACCAUAGCUACUCUACCAGCAGCAUCCUAGUUACCAUAGCUACUCUACCAGCAGCAUCCUAGUUACCAUAGCUACCACUACAUCAUCACCGGCUGUCUGCAUUUCUUGUGGACCGAUGGAGCUCCCCGGUUGUUUCUUCCACCUGUUAAAUCCCGGUGAGGCUUCUCCCUCUCUGGUUGACGGAUGCUGGCUACCUCUGUCCGGUUCUCCUCCCUUCACUAGAUGGACGGUAACUUUAGUGUUUAAACCCUCUGUGUCCAAGGACCAAACUUUUGAAUAUUAUUUUCAGGGCGCCUCAAUAGCAGGUAUUGAACCCCGGGUAAAUAAUCACUAGUCAGAACCUCAACCUCAGUAUACAUUCAUUAUAAAAAAUAAUCUUAAUUUCUGAUAUUGUGAGUAAACAACCUCGAGAGUGCGUCUUCCAGCCCUCCAAUAAAUUACAUCAUUCAACCCUCCCGGUUAGUAAAUGUACCUCAACAUCCCCCGGAGAAGGCAGAGUAACGACACCAGCCUUUUAGCGGGGCUGACAGACUGACUACAACGCUCGCGUCGCUUAAUGAAAUUCGUUAUUAAAAAUGACACACUGCUCGCGCCGUCUAGAAGUCAGUUCUAUUUGAGACGCAGAUCAUGCUGCAUCUCCUCAUUGGUUAAUAGAAGCAGGUACCCAUGUGCCAUCUCCUCAUUGGUUAAUAGAAGCAGGUAGCCACGUGUCAUCUUAUUUAGCAAAAAACAUAACUUAACAUGACCAUAACUUCUUUAAACAAUAAAAGCUCAUUUACAAACGUUUCUGAAAAUGGAUGUAUAGCUUUUUGGAAUGAAACUCUUCUUAUGUUUCCCCAUCUGAGCUCAGAGUAGAUGAGAGAUGUAAUGUUUGUCUCUGUUGUGUUGAAGCCCAAUCAAGCAGGAGAGACCAGCCUCCCCUGUUCCCAGCUGUGUGUCCAUGAAGAGUGACGGGUCUAUGGGUCAUCCUAUAUUCUUUAGAGAGGGAGACUUUUCUACUGAACAAAGGCACAAGGACAACGUAGCACGUCCUGUGAACACGUCAGGGUUCCAUAUCCUCAGUCAGACCAGCAGAAACUGGACCAGCAGCACAACAAGGUAACACGUCUGGUGAACAGGUCAGAGUUCAUUAUCCUCAGUCAGACCAGCAGAAACUGGACCAGCAGCACAACAAGGUAACACGUCUGGUGAACAGGUCAGAGUUCAUAUCCUCAGGCAGACCAGCAGAAACUGGACCAGCAGCACAACAAGGUAACACGUCUGGUGAACAGGUCAGAGUUCAUAUCCUCAGUCAGACCAGUAGAAACUGGAUCAGCAGCACAACAAGGUAACACGUCUGGUGAACAGGUCAGAGUUCAUAUCCUCAGGCAGACCAGUAGAAACUGGAUCAGCAGCACAACAAGGUAUCACGUCUGGUGGAGCCUGUGUCAGUACUGAUAGGAUGGAAAGAAAGGGAACGCUGCUCUCAGAUCAGCUUUCUCCAUUCAAAUAUGUUCUUAACAUUAGAAUUAUGUCAUAAUACUGACCACGGAUCAGGUUCUAUUAUCCCCUCUGGCUGCAAAUACUGAGGCAGUUAUUCUAAUGCUUACCCCCAAGAAAUGCACUAAAUCACAGAUUUGGCACAUCAUUGUGUUCAUGUUAGGAUACACAUCAUGAAAUAUAUUGAGACAAAAUACAGACAGAGCCUACAAGAAGCAAAAUAUAACUCAAUAUACUGAACAAUGUGAUUGAAAUAGGCCUAAAGCCAACAGUUCAUACUUUAAUGAUCAUCUCAGUUUUCAUUUGCAGCUAAUUUGUUUACGUCCCUUUACGUCAACUGCAAAGACAACUUUGUUCUGAAUUUAUCGGUGUCACAGAGAGACGGAUAAACCAUGUGAUUCUGUGUUUAGCAGAGAUCUUCUGUGUAUAAAGUCAUGCGGAAGGUCAAAAAAAAAUGUAAAGACUCACUCAGCUGUUCUAGUGGUCUGAGGCAGGUGGUAGAUUACUCAGCUGUUCUAGUGGUCUGAG